rnacentral:tRNA from 1 species
UAGCUCAGUUGGUAGAGCAGUUGGCUUUUAACCAAUUGGUCGUAGGUUCGAAUCCCACACGAC